rnacentral:snRNA from 1 species
GGAUGGAGCCCCAUAUCAGGCUCUCUGCUCGGCAGGGAGCCUGCUUCCUCCUCUCUCUCUGCCUGCCUCUCUGCCUGCUUGUGAUCUCUGUCAAAUNUCUUCGGUCAAGGGUAUACGAGUAGCUGCGCUCCCCUGCUAGAACCUCCAAACAAGCUCUCAAGGUCCAUUUGUAGGAGAACGUAGGGUAGUCAAGCUUCCAAGACUCCAGACACAUCCAAAUGAGGCGCUGCACGUGGCAGUCUGCCUUUCUUU